rnacentral:rRNA from 1 species
AUUGAACGCUGGCGGCAGGCCUAACACAUGCAAGUCGAGCGGAGCGGCGGACGGGUGAGUAAUGCCUAGUAAUCUGCCUGGUAGUGGGGGAUAACGUCCGGAAACGGGCGCUAAUACCGCAUACUAUCAGAUGAGCCUAGGUGGGAUUAGCUAGUUGGGGGGGUAAAGGCCUACCAAGGCGACGAUCCGGCACUGGUCUGAGAGGAUGAUCAGUCACACUGGAACUGAGACACGGUCCAGACUCCUACGGGAGGCAGCAGGGGGGAAUAUUUGAGAAUGGGCGAAAGCCUGAGCCAGCCAUGCCGCAUGGGUGAAGAAGGUCUUCGGAUUGUAAAGCACUUUAAGUUGGGAGGCGGUACCAACAGAAUAAGCACCGGCUAACUUCGUGCCAGCAGCCGCGGUAAUAC